GAUGAACGCUGGCGGCGUGCCUAAUACAUGCAAGUCGAGCGAACGGACGAGAAGCUUGCUUCUCUGAUGUUAGCGGCGGACGGGUGAGUAACACGUGGAUAACCUACCUAUAAGACUGGGAUAACUUCGGGAAACCGGAGCUAAUACCGGAUAAUAUUUUGAACCGCAUGGUUCAAAAGUGAAAGACGGUCUUGCUGUCACUUAUAGAUGGAUCCGCGCUGCAUUAGCUAGUCGGUAAGGUAACGGCUUACCAAGGCAACGAUGCAUAGCCGACCUGAGAGGGUGAUCGGCCACACUGGAACUGAGACACGGUCCAGACUCCUACGGGAGGCAACAGUAGGGAAUCUUCCGCAAUGGGCGAAAGCCUGACGGAGCAACGCCGCGUGAGUGAUGAAGGUCUUCGGAUCGUAAAACUCUGUUAUUAGGGAAGAACAUAUGUGUAAGUAACUGUGCACAUCUUGACGGUACCUAAUCAGAAAGCCACGGCUAACUACGUG
rnacentral:rRNA from 1 species